rnacentral:lncRNA from 14 species
ACCGCAUAUAACAAAUGUUUACUGCUGAAGAGGUAGAAAGACAACUGCUGAUUUGACCCGUUUCUGACUCAGCUGACAUCUCUGGGCAGUGAUUCUAGAGACCUGAAGAAUCUGCAGUUUUCAGACCCAAUUUCUUGUUUACAAGCAGAUCGAUUUCCAGCUUCCUGACUAAGGGAAUCCUCACAACAAAUCUAAUCCAGCAAGAACCACUGGAUAUGGAAAGGAUACUGGAAGAAAGUUCUUCACCACCAAGAGGUGUGACUAGGAGUACUGGAGACUGAUUGUUUUUCAGCCUAUAAAAAAGGUGAGGACAUUGGUACUCUUUUCCACUUCAGGGUGGGCUUUUCUGCUUUCAUUGUUAAAUAUUGUAAACAUUUAUGAGUUUACAUUGAAA